rnacentral:rRNA from 1 species
CUGCAGCUCAAGUGGUGACCACUAUUAUUGGGCCUAAAACGUUCGUAGCCGGUUUGGUAAAUGCCUGGGUAAAUCGUGUAUCUUAACUAUACGAAUUCCGGGUAGACUGCCAAACUUGAGACCGGGAGAAGCUAGAGGUACUCCUGGGGUAGAGGUGAAAUUCUGUAAUCCUGGGGGGACCACCAGUGGCGAAGGCGUCUAGCUAGAACGGGUCUGACGGUGAGGAACGAAGCCCUGGGGCGCAAACCGGAUUAGAUACCCGAGUAGUCC